UCUUAUGGAUGAGCAAAGAAAGCGCUUUCUUUGGGUAGAAUCUACUCCUGGUGAAGAUGCUGUGAA
rnacentral:pre_miRNA from 1 species